GGUUAAGCGACUAAGCGUACACGGUGGAUGCCCUGGCAGUCAGAGGCGAUGAAGGACGUGCUAAUCUGCGAUAAGCGUCGGUAAGGUGAUAUGAACCGUUAUAACCGGCGAUUUCCGAAUGGGGAAACCCAGUGUGUUUCGACACACUAUCAUUAACUGAAUCCAUAGGUUAAUGAGGCGAACCGGGGGAACUGAAACAUCUAAGUACCCCGAGGAAAAGAAAUCAACCGAGAUUCCCCCAGUAGCGGCGAGCGAACGGGGAGGAGCCCAGAGCCUGAAUCAGUGUGUGUGUUAGUGGAAGCGUCUGGAAAGGCGCGCGAUACAGGGUGACAGCCCCGUACACAAAAAUGCACAUGCUGUGAGCUCGAUGAGUAGGGCGGGACACGUGGUAUCCUGUCUGAAUAUGGGGGGACCAUCCUCCAAGGCUAAAUACUCCUGACUGACCGAUAGUGAACCAGUACCGUGAGGGAAAGGCGAAAAGAACCCCGGCGAGGGGAGUGAAAAAGAACCUGAAACCGUGUACGUACAAGCAGUGGGAGCACGCUUAGGCGUGUGACUGCGUACCUUUUGUAUAAUGGGUCAGCGACUUAUAUUCUGUAGCAAGGUUAACCGAAUAGGGGAGCCGAAGGGAAACCGAGUCUUAACUGGGCGUUAAGUUGCAGGGUAUAGACCCGAAACCCGGUGAUCUAGCCAUGGGCAGGUUGAAGGUUGGGUAACACUAACUGGAGGACCGAACCGACUAAUGUUGAAAAAUUAGCGGAUGACUUGUGGCUGGGGGUGAAAGGCCAAUCAAACCGGGAGAUAGCUGGUUCUCCCCGAAAGCUAUUUAGGUAGCGCCUCGUGAACUCAUCUCCGGGGGUAGAGCACUGUUUCGGCAAGGGGGUCAUCCCGACUUACCAACCCGAUGCAAACUGCGAAUACCGGAGAAUGUUAUCACGGGAGACACACGGCGGGUGCUAACGUCCGUCGUGAAGAGGGAAACAACCCAGACCGCCAGCUAAGGUCCCAAAGUCAUGGUUAAGUGGGAAACGAUGUGGGAAGGCCCAGACAGCCAGGAUGUUGGCUUAGAAGCAGCCAUCAUUUAAAGAAAGCGUAAUAGCUCACUGGUCGAGUCGGCCUGCGCGGAAGAUGUAACGGGGCUAAACCAUGCACCGAAGCUGCGGCAGCGACGCUUAUGCGUUGUUGGGUAGGGGAGCGUUCUGUAAGCCUGUGAAGGUGUGCUGUGAGGCAUGCUGGAGGUAUCAGAAGUGCGAAUGCUGACAUAAGUAACGAUAAAGCGGGUGAAAAGCCCGCUCGCCGGAAGACCAAGGGUUCCUGUCCAACGUUAAUCGGGGCAGGGUGAGUCGACCCCUAAGGCGAGGCCGAAAGGCGUAGUCGAUGGGAAACAGGUUAAUAUUCCUGUACUUGGUGUUACUGCGAAGGGGGGACGGAGAAGGCUAUGUUGGCCGGGCGACGGUUGUCCCGGUUUAAGCGUGUAGGCUGGUUUUCCAGGCAAAUCCGGAAAAUCAAGGCUGAGGCGUGAUGACGAGGCACUACGGUGCUGAAGCAACAAAUGCCCUGCUUCCAGGAAAAGCCUCUAAGCAUCAGGUAACAUCAAAUCGUACCCCAAACCGACACAGGUGGUCAGGUAGAGAAUACCAAGGCGCUUGAGAGAACUCGGGUGAAGGAACUAGGCAAAAUGGUGCCGUAACUUCGGGAGAAGGCACGCUGAUAUGUAGGUGAAGUCCCUCGCGGAUGGAGCUGAAAUCAGUCGAAGAUACCAGCUGGCUGCAACUGUUUAUUAAAAACACAGCACUGUGCAAACACGAAAGUGGACGUAUACGGUGUGACGCCUGCCCGGUGCCGGAAGGUUAAUUGAUGGGGUCAGCGCAAGCGAAGCUCUUGAUCGAAGCCCCGGUAAACGGCGGCCGUAACUAUAACGGUCCUAAGGUAGCGAAAUUCCUUGUCGGGUAAGUUCCGACCUGCACGAAUGGCGUAAUGAUGGCCAGGCUGUCUCCACCCGAGACUCAGUGAAAUUGAACUCGCUGUGAAGAUGCAGUGUACCCGCGGCAAGACGGAAAGACCCCGUGAACCUUUACUAUAGCUUGACACUGAACAUUGAGCCUUGAUGUGUAGGAUAGGUGGGAGGCUUUGAAGUGUGGACGCCAGUCUGCAUGGAGCCGACCUUGAAAUACCACCCUUUAAUGUUUGAUGUUCUAACGUUGACCCGUAAUCCGGGUUGCGGACAGUGUCUGGUGGGUAGUUUGACUGGGGCGGUCUCCUCCUAAAGAGUAACGGAGGAGCACGAAGGUUGGCUAAUCCUGGUCGGACAUCAGGAGGUUAGUGCAAUGGCAUAAGCCAGCUUGACUGCGAGCGUGACGGCGCGAGCAGGUGCGAAAGCAGGUCAUAGUGAUCCGGUGGUUCUGAAUGGAAGGGCCAUCGCUCAACGGAUAAAAGGUACUCCGGGGAUAACAGGCUGAUACCGCCCAAGAGUUCAUAUCGACGGCGGUGUUUGGCACCUCGAUGUCGGCUCAUCACAUCCUGGGGCUGAAGUAGGUCCCAAGGGUAUGGCUGUUCGCCAUUUAAAGUGGUACGCGAGCUGGGUUUAGAACGUCGUGAGACAGUUCGGUCCCUAUCUGCCGUGGGCGCUGGAGAACUGAGGGGGGCUGCUCCUAGUACGAGAGGACCGGAGUGGACGCAUCACUGGUGUUCGGGUUGUCAUGCCAAUGGCACUGCCCGGUAGCUAAAUGCGGAAGAGAUAAGUGCUGAAAGCAUCUAAGCACGAAACUUGCCCCGAGAUGAGUUCUCCCUGACCCUUUAAGGGUCCUGAAGGAACGUUGAAGACGACGACGUUGAUAGGCCGGGUGUGUAAGCGCAGCGAUGCGUUGAGCUAACCGGUACUAAUGAACCGUGAGGCUUAACCUU
rnacentral:rRNA from 1 species